UUUCCCUUUCUCAAGAACAAAAGUAUUGCACAGAAAUGCUCCAGUGUCACCUUGGUGAGAAGGAGCUGACCACAGUUGCCCUUAUUUUCCUGGAUUCAUUUUAUGGCCAAAAGCAUGGGAUGGUGAUUUCCUUCAAUCCUGGAAAUAAAUGGUGCUUUCGGGAGACAGAGCACUGAGGGAAUUAGAUGCUGACUACUCAUCAAAAGUUUUUACAACAGGACCCUGUCAAUGGACAGUAAUGAUCUUGAGAUGCAGACAGUAGAGCAGCAGGAGGGAAGAGGGCAGCCACAUGCCAGACUCACACGCUCCCAAGAAACUUUGCACAACUCUCCUCAAGGGGCUGAACCAGUCUUUGAUAAUACUUGAAAGGAAGACCAGGACAAUAGCACUGUAAUUUCUGUGAUGUUGAAUUUAUCUCCUGCAAUUGAAGACUACUCUGAAAUUCCCUAGUAUGUUUGGUUUCAGAAUAUUGCAGCAUCUGGAGGUAUAAUUUGAUAGAAUAACAAAGAAAUUAAACCUCUUAAAAAACACUACACCUCCCCCCCCUCCUUUUAUUGUAGGCUGGAUUUGAAAAUAGGCUGGUUAUAUCAGAAUAUUGAAAAAAUAUACCCUUUUUUUCUAAAUAA